AUACGUAGGGGGCUAGCGUUAUCCGGAAUUACUGGGCGUAAAGGGUGCGUAGGUGGUUUCUUAAGUCAGAGGUGAAAGGCUACGGCUCAACCGUAGUAAGCCUUUGAGACUGGGAAACUUGAGUGCAGGAGAGGAGAGUGGAAUUCCUAGUGUAGCGGUGAAAUGCGUAGAUAUUAGGAGGAACACCAGUUGCGAAGGCGGCUCUCUGGACUGUAACUGACACUGAGGCACGAAAGCGUGGGGAGCAAACAGGAUUAGAUACCCUGGUAGUCCACGCCGUAAACGAUGAGUACUAGCUGUCGGAGGUUACCCCCUUCGGUGGCGCAGCUAACGCAUUAAGUACUCCGCCUGGGAAGUACGCUCGCAAGAGUGAAACUCAAAGGAGUUGACGGGGACCCGCACAAGUAGCGGAGCAUGUGGUUUAAUUCGAAGCAACGCGAAGAACCUUACCUAAGCUUGACAUCCUUUUGACCGAUGCCUAAUCGCAUCUUUCCCUUCGGGGACAGAAGUGACAGGUGGUGCAUGGUUGUCGUCAGCUCGUGUCGUGAGAUGUUGGGUUAAGUCCCGCAACGAGCGCAACCCUUGCCUUUAGUUGCCAGCAUUAAGUUGGGCACUCUAGAGGGACUGCCAGGGAUAACCUGGAGGUAGGUGGGGAUGACGUCAAAUCAUCAUGCCCCUUAUGCUUAGGGCUACACACGUGCUACAAUGGGUGGUACAGAGGGCAGCCAAGUCGUGAGGCGGAGCUAAUCCCUUAAAGCCAUUCUCAGUUCGGAUUGUAGGCUGAAACUCGCCUACAUGAAGCUGGAGUUACUAGUAAUCGCAGAUCAGAAUGCUGCGGUGAAUGCGUUCCCGGGUCUUGUACACACCGCCCGUCACACCACGGGAGUUGGGGGCGCCCGAAGCCGGAUUGCUAACCUUUUGGAAGCGUCCGUCGAAGGUGAAAUCAAUAACUGGGGUG
rnacentral:rRNA from 1 species